UGGGGGGGUGGUAUGAUGAUGUAUCUGAAUAAUAUUUGUCUUCAUGUAUGUUUAGUUUGGCGGGUUAUGUAGAGGUUCUGGCGUCUAAACUCGGCCUCCAGGUUCCAGAUCUGACGCCCAGGCAGGCGGACAUGUGGCAGACCAGAGUCUCGUCUCACCUGGGUAAGGCCGUUGGCAUCACUCUGGGCUGUAUCCUGGGAAUGUUCCCGCUGUUCUUCCUGGACGAUGAAGACAAGGACAGAGAGAAGAAGGAAGAGUGACAUCAUCGUUAGGCUCCGCCCUCUGAGGAGUCACAGUCUCAGAUGUUUGUUUGACCUCAGACAUGUCUUCCCACAAUCCUUUUCUGCCCGGCUGUUGUUAAUCCCAUGUUUUUGUUUUUGUUUUUUGAAUGUGUUUAAUCUCAGUCUGCAAACGUCGUAACAUCUGGGAUUACAGCUAAUCUGAGGAUAAUCUGCAGCUAAAAAACUAGCUAGUUAGCUUCGCAGUUUAGUCAACAGACUGACAGACGCUAAUCUACCUCGAUCCUAAAUAGUCUGUAGCUAAUCUGAGGUUAGUCUGUAGCUAAUCUGAGGUUAGUCUGUAGCUAAUCUGAGGUUAGUCUGUAGCUAAUCUGAGGUUAGUCUGUAGCUAACCAGCUCCACUUUUUUAAGAUAGCCACUAAAAACUACGACGUUCCAACAACAACGCUAACAUUUGACGACGUUUUUUUCUGUUGGUGACACGUCAGGAAAAAUGAAAUAAAAAAGUUACUACUUUCUAACGUUACGACGUUAAUAUUUAUGCUGUAAUAACGCCUCGUCUCGAAGCAGGACUGACGUUAAAAUACUAAGAACCUGAGGCUACGUUUGAAUCUUCAGGAUUUGAAGUUUUAAAGGUUUAUUUUUAUGUCUUGAGUCCAGUUAAAAAUAAUCUCACAAGUUUAUGUAAAAUUCUCAUAAAGAUUGUUUGAUGUUUUUGCUGCCACCCUGUGGACAGUCUGAGCAAAUGCCGGCGAGUUUGAUGCAAUAAACUUCAUUUGAAGCACAAUGAUGGUUUUUAUUUGACACUGCAGGUGGCGCUGUUUUCAUGUCAUGCAACUGCUGUGGUGAUGAUGCCUUCACUGGUUCCUGCAGCGGAAAAAUAACGUAACAUUUGUUGAGCAGCGAUGAGUUAUUCAUGAAAAAAAAAUUAAAUCUGCAAUCUGAGUCAAAGGUCAAAGGUCAAACAAUCCCGUAGAAGAUUUUCCGACUUUGUCUUUAACAACAUUCGACGGCAGCAGCACAGACUGUUCAGCUUCACACACGUUCCCUAAACGCAUCAGCUUCGCAACAGUCAGAAAACCUGAGCUGGAGAAAUGUUGACGUCAGACCUCAGGACCCACAGGGGGCGCUAACCUGUCCCGUACACAGUAGCUAAGACACAGAUGAAAAAAAGGCAGAAUAAAAACAAACGACAAAAAGAGAAAAAUUAAUUCAGUGUGUGGAUAACAACUACGCCCUCUGCUGUUUGAACCAACAUUCACUGGAAACGACAUGCUAGGUUCAUUUAUCUUAAACUAAAAUAACGCUUUAGCUCGCGAUCCUACAGUACGACUGGUCGGUCAGAAUCAAUAAACUUCGUCUUAGCUAACGAUGCUGGUUAGCCACCGGCAGUGAUGUCUUACAUCGUGUUGCUCACAAGCAAAUGAUGCUAACGUCGACGUUCUUGUCAAAUACAGGGGGUCGUCGGCUCACGACAUCAUCGACUUACGGCGUUUCGUCGUCGGUUACAUCAUCAUCUCUCAUAAAUUUAUUAAGAAAACCUCAUUCCAUCAUUUUGACGUACAGCGUUAAAACAAGUUCGCACGGGAACUAGAUGGUGAGCGGAGCGGAUGUAUACGCUGUCACGUAGCGCUAUAAGUGGAAGUCGACUUUCUUUACCUUCGCCCUCACCUUGGAUCGCGCUACAUUCGUCUACUCCUCUACUGAUGUUAGCACUGCGUUAGCGUAAGUGAGUGACCUAGCUACUAAUGUACAGUAUGUACAUCGUUUCAAAUUUAGAAAAUC